UACGGAGGGUCCAAGCGUUAUCCGGAAUCAUUGGGUUUAAAGGGUCCGUAGGCGGCCAGGUAGGUCUGCUGUGAAAACUCGAGGCUUAGCCUCGAGCUGUCGGCGGAAACCAUCUGGCUAGAGUCCGGAAGAGGAGAAUGGAAUUCCCGGUGUAGCGGUGAAAUGCGCAGAUAUCGGGAAGAACACCCGUGGCGAAGGCGGUUCUCUGGGACGGUACUGACGCUGAGACGCGAAAGCGUGGGGAGCGAACAGG
rnacentral:rRNA from 1 species